GACGUAGGUGGCGAACGUUAUCCGGAAUUAUUGGGCGUAAAGGGUGCGUAGAUGGCUUGAUAAGUUAGCAGUGGGAAAUCGAAGCUCAACCUCGUGGAAGCUGGUAAUACUGUCAGGCUCGAGUGCAGGAGAGGUUAACGGAACUCCAUGUGGAGCGGUAAAAUGUGUAGAUAUAUGGAAGAACACCAAUCAGGCGAAGGCAGUUAACUAUUCUAUUCCUGACAUUGAGGCAUGAAAGCGUGGGGAGCAAAACGG
rnacentral:rRNA from 1 species